GGUUGCCAGGUGCUGGGGAGAGGGAGAGGUGAACAGACAGAGCACAGAUUUUUUAGGGCAGCGUAAUUAUUCUGUAAGAUACUAUUAUGCGCUGAGCUGAGCGCGGAAGGUGCGGGCAAGAGCCGCGGGUCUGGAGAGCAGGACUGGGUCAACAGGCCCAAGACUGUGCGUGACAUGCGGCUGGCGCUGCACCAGCACAGCCACUCGGGGCCCUUCGAGAGCAAGUUUAAGAAGGAGACGGCCCUGACUGCAGGCAGGUUGUUGGGUUUCGAGGCCAACGGGUCUAAAGCAGUUGCAAGAACAGCAAGGAAAAGGAAGCCCUCUCCAGAACCAGAAGGUGAAGUCGGGCCCCCUAAGAUCAAUGGAGACGCCCAGCCGUGGCUGUCCACAUCCACAGAAGGGCUCAAGAUCCCCAUGACUCCUACAUCCUCUUUUCUGUCUCCGCCACCACCCACUGCCUCACCUCAUUCCAACCGGACCACACCGCCUGAAGCAGCCCAGAAUGGCCAGUCCCCCAUGGCAGCCCUGAUCUUAGUAACAGACAAUGCAGGGGGCAGUCAUGCCUCAAAAUAUGCCAACCAGGUUCACUCCACUACCAGGAGGAAUAGCAACAGUCCGCCCUCUCCGUCCUCUAUGAACCAAAGAAGGCUGGGUCCCAGAGAGAUGGGGGGCCAGGGAGCAGGCAACACAGGAGGACCGGAGCCAGUGCACCCUGCCAGCCUCCUGGUCUCCUCUCUGGCAGCCAGUGCCCCGCUGUGCUGCACCCUCUGCCACGAGCAGCUGGAGGACACCCAUUUUGUGCAAUGCCCAUCCGUCCCUUCGCACAAGUUCUGCUUCCCUUGCUCCAGACAAAGCAUCAAACAGCAGGAAGCUAGUGGAGAGGUCUAUUGUCCUAGUGGGGAAAAAUGCCCUCUUGUGGGCUCCAAUGUCCCCUGGGCCUUUAUGCAAGGGGAAAUUGCAACCAUCCUUGCUGGAGAUGUGAAAGUGAAAAAAGAGAGAGGCUCGUGACUUUCCGGUUUCAGAAAAACCCAACGAUUACCCCUAAUUAAAACUGCUUGAAUUGUAUAUAUAUCUCCAUAUGUAUACAUAUCCAAGACAAGGGAAAUGUAGACUUCAUAAACAUGGCUGUAUAAUUUUGAUUUUUUGAAUACAUUGUGUUUCUAUAUUUUUUUUUUUACGACAAAAGGUAUGUACUUAUAAAGGCAUUUUUUUCUUUUGUUAACGUUAUUAGCAUAUCUUUGUGCUUUAUUAUCCUGGUGAUAGUUACCGUUCUAUGUAGGCUGUGACUUGCGCUGCUUUUUUAGAGCACUUGGCAAAUCAGAAAUGCUUCUAGCUGUAUUUGUAUGCACUUAUUUUAAAAAGAAAAAAAAAGCCAAAUACAUUUUCUGACAUUGUAAGAUGGCCUUACUGUCUGUCAUUCCUUAUUGCUGACCCCUUUCUCAGGCCGGAGGCCAAGUGGUGGAGAAGGAAAGGAAAUGAUUGAACGGGCAUGUUGUCAAGUGGGCAUGCCACUGGGAAAUACCACCAGUUUACCCUGAAACAUUGUCCUCAGAGAAGUAGCAAAGUGGAUUUUGAAUCUCUAUUUUGUUCAAAAGUUCAGUUCCUGAGAUACUGAUGACUGAGAGUGCUGCUGGGAAAUUUUCAGGACUGUGUGGUCUUUCGGGUUUUUUUUUUUUUUUUUAAGACUAAGUUGACCGCUGUUCACUGUCCACGUGAUCAGUUGUAAGAUUACAAUGCUGCAUGCUAGUUGGUUACAUAAGACACAAUUCCAGUGAUGGAAGGCGGUUGUAAUGGAUGGCACUGCCAUCUUUGAGCAGAGCCCAGCUCUGCAGCGCCACUUCAUCUUUUUAAACACCCUAGAGGUCUGGUUGUUGUUUCUGUUGUCCUUUAUUUUGAAGGAGUUGCAAGAGAAGUUACAGUCCAGGUGAACUUGGAAAUUGUGGGAUUGGUUUUGUUUCUGUUUUGUUUUGUUUAUCAUUUACCUGUAGUGCUAUUGCAGUCGAUACUAUCACCUAUACCCUGUUUCUAGUGAGUGCUGAAUACAGUAUGAUACAAUGACAGUAACAGCCGCGUGGUGCUGCCAGGACUGCCCUUGGGAAUAUCAGUGACAGCCCAAAUGUGGGUGUAGGAAACCUGUAAUUUCCUUCUUAACAUGUGCUUGAAAUACCAAGUGAAUACUACUGUUCUGGAAAAAAAUGAUAAACUAGUGGAAAUUAAAGAAAUUAAGGGUUUUAUAUAAUAGGCCCCACCUCUCAAAAUAUUUUUAGAAGUCUUUUUGUAAACUAAUUUCUUUUGAUGACUAUUUUGCAUCAGUAAAAUGAUUUUUUUAAAACCAAUAUAUCAUCAAUUAUUAGAAAAAAAAA